rfam:Schistosoma margrebowiei strain Zambia genome assembly, scaffold: SMRZ_contig0001295
AUCUUGCUGACGAGUGCCAAAUAACAUGAAACCCGGUUCCAGGAU